GACGCCCCCCAGAGCCCCCCGGACCUGCGGGGAUUUCAGACCUCACACUGUGCCCCCAGCCCCGCGACCCCCACCCCAAUAAACCGCUCCGAGCCGCAGCCGCUGUCACGUUUCUGUUUUGCGGGGGACCGGGUUGGUCUCAGGCUGGAGUGGGGAGAGGGGGGGGGAUGUUUUGGGGGUGCCCCGCCCCGCACGUGCCCGGACGCCCCGGCCCCCCUCCCACGCUGGGGCUGCCGCGCCCAAAGCUCUGCGGGGCAGGGCGGGGGGUCCCGGGCGCCGGAGCUCCCGUGGGAUCAGAGGGAGAGUCCCCGGGGUGAGGAAGGGGCGGCCCGGGGUCCGCGGCGUGGGAGGGGGAGGCUCGGGACGUCCCGCUGCCCUCUCGGGUUUCCUGGGCCCCCUUCCCGGCUCGGUCCCACUUUCACUUUCGGCGGCGGCUCCGCCGCGGCCCGAGGGGUCCCGGGGGAGGCUCCGGGAGCGCUCGCGGGUCCCGGUGCGCCGUCCCCGGCUCCGCACCGCGAUGGACUUGCCCCCCCUCCGCUCUGCUCUGACCCCCUGGCUGCUCCUCGACUACCCUGUGGCGAUGCCCAGCAACCUGGAGCCGGACAGCGUCUGCUCCGAUCUCUGGGGGCUUCACUUUGGGGCACUGGCGCUGCAGCGAAUGUUGGGGGUGGCGGGGAAGGAUUUGGCCCCCCUGCUCAGGAACCUCCUUGCCCAGCUCCACUUCGUGGCCGAGUGUCACAUCCAGGACCCCCAGCGCUGUGUCCGGCUGGAGAUGGUGAACGUGUCGCAGCUACUGGAGACGCUCGUGCAGCACCUGGGGGGGCUGCAAGGGAGACCCCUCCACUUCCCCGGCUGUGCCCGCUUGCGCUGCCACCCAGGUACCCCCCGGGACCCCCGAGAGACCCCCGUAACCCCCCUGGGGCAGCUGCUGACCCCUGUCUCCCCCCAGGCCCGGCGCUGACCAGCCCAGCAGUGCGGCACGAGGGGCUCUUGGGGGCCAAGCAGGGACCCCCCAGCCCUGCUGGACAUGGGCUGGUGCUGCUGGGGGGAGUUGGGGUGGCCUUGGGCUUGGUGGCGGUGGGGUGGGUACUGUGGAGGAGACCCUGUGCCCAGGUGGGGACACCGGGGGCACUGAGGGGCACUGGGGACACCGGGGAGGAUGGCGUUCCUGGGGACGCGGCGGGUGGUGAGGGCACGAGGGGCACUGGUGGUGGUGUGUGCACUGGGGACACUGUGGAUGCUGGCUGUCGUGGGGACCUUGGGAGCACUGGGGGCUGUUGUGGGGACACUGGGAGCACUGGGGGCUGUCUUGGGGUCACUGGGAGGAGGACUGACAACACUGGGAGCACGAGGGAGCGCUGGGAGGUCAUUCCCCUCAGCCCCCCCCAGCCCUCACAGGGACCCCCGACAUGGGAGCAGGACGGGACCUGAGUGGCCGAGUGGUACUUGGGGACAGACACAG
rnacentral:lncRNA from 1 species